rnacentral:rRNA from 1 species
UACGGAGGUGGCAAGCGUUGCUCGGAAUCACUGGGCGUAAAGGGCGCGUAGGCGGGGAGGUAAGUCGGGUGUGAAAUCCCUCGGCCCAACCGAGGAACUGCGCCCGAGACUGCUUCUCUUGAGUCCCGGAGAGGAAGGUGGAAUUCCCGGUGUAGCGGUGAAAUGUGUAGAGAUGUGGAGGAACACCGAUGGCGAAGGCAGCCCCCUGGGUCAAGAUUGACGCUCAUGCACGAAAGCGUGGGGAGCAAACAGG